rnacentral:rRNA from 1 species
AUACAUGCAAGUCGAGGGGCAGCAUGAAGUAGCAAUACUUUGAUGGCGACCGGCAAACGGGUGCGGAACACGUACACAACCUUCCCUUUAGUGGGGAAUAGCCCAGAGAAAUUUGGAUUAAUACCCCGUAACAUAACGAUGUGGCAUCACAUUGUUAUUAUAGCUUCGGCGCUAGAUGAUGGGUGUGCGUAUGAUUAGAUAGUUGGCGAGGUAACGGCUCACCAAGUCUACGAUCAUUAGCUGAUGUGAGAGCAUGAUCAGCCACACGGGCACUGAGACACGGGCCCGACUCCUACGGGAGGCAGCAGUAAGGAAUAUUGGUCAAUGGACGCAAGUCUGAACCAGCUAUGCCGCGUGAAGGAUUAAGGUCCUCUGGAUUGUAAACUUCUUUUAUCUGGGACGAAAAAAGGUCUUUCUAGAUCACUUGACGGUACCAGAUGAAUAAGCACCGGCUAACUCCGUGCCAGCAGCCGCGGUAAUACGGAGGGUGCAAGCGUUAUCCGGAUUCACUGGGUUUAAAGGGUGCGUAGGCGGGCAGGUAAGUCAGUGGUGAAAUCCUGGAGCUCAACUCCAGAACUGCCAUUGAUACUAUCUGUCUUGAAUAUUGUGGAGGUAAGCGGAAUAUGUCAUGUAGCGGUGAAAUGCUUAGAUAUGACAUAGAACACCCAUUGCAAAGGCAGCUUACUACGCAUAUAUUGACGCUGAGGCACGAAAGCGUGGGGAUCAAACAGGAUUAGAUACCCUGGUAGUCCACGCCCUAAACGAUGGAUACUCGACAUACGCGAUACACUGUGUGUGUCUGAGCGAAAGCAUUAAGUAUCCCACCUGGGAAGUACGUUCGCAAGAAUGAAA